GAUGAACGCUGGCGGCGUGCCUAAUACAUGCAAGUCGAGCGAACAGAUAAGGAGCUUGCUCCUUUGACGUUAGCGGCGGACGGGUGAGUAACACGUGGGUAACCUACCUAUAAGACUGGGAUAACUUCGGGAAACCGGAGCUAAUACCGGAUAACAUUUGGAACCGCAUGGUUCUAAAGUGAAAGAUGGUUUUGCUAUCACUUAUAGAUGGACCCGCGCCGUAUUAGCUAGUUGGUAAGGUAACGGCUUACCAAGGCGACGAUACGUAGCCGACCUGAGAGGGGUGGUCGCCCACAUGGGAACUGAGAAACGGCCCGAACCCCAAGGGGGGGCAGCGGAGGGAAAUUUUCGCAAAUGGGCGAAAGCCGAACGGGGCAACCCCGGGGGGGUGAUGAGGGGUUUCGGCCGGUAAAACUCUGUUAUUAGGAAAAAAAAAAGGGGAAAGUAACGGGGACCGUUUUGAGGGACCCAAUAAAAAAAGCACGGGCAAACACCGG
rnacentral:rRNA from 1 species